CCUCUUGACACUAUGUACUCCAAAUUCUUUUUGCCGAGGAGCUAGUAGAUCGGGAUGAAGUCAAGGAUCAGGCAAAGAAGAACCCUUGAAUUCAAUCCUACCAAGGAGCUAGUAUACGUCUUAUUGCAGUGCUUGCAACGCCAAGCUUUUGAUCCAUCGGAAUUUUUCCCCUUAGGUGCAGCGAGGGGAAUUAUGACUCAUCAAGUAGGGGUUUUGCCUGUUUAGCAGUACCCUGCUUGGACGAUUGAUCUUCUUCGUCCGAGUCGUCAUCGGGACGAGUAUGUUCAUCACCGACAUUGUUGAGAUCAAUGUCCGCGUCAGCCUCCUCGACUUCAUCCUGAUCUACUAGCUCCUCGGCAGAAAGAAAUUCAAGUACAUACUCUUACAUU